CCUACGGGUGGCAGCAGUCGAGACUCAUUCACAAUGGGGGAAACCCUGAUGGUGCGACGCCGCGUGGGGGAAUGAAGGUCUUCGGAUUGUAAACCCCUGUCAUGUGGGAGCAAAUCAAAAAGAUAGUACCACAAGAGGAAGAGACGGCUAACGCUGUGCCAGCAGCCGCGGUAAUACAUAGGUCGCAAGCGUUGUUCGGAAUCACUGGGCGUAAAGCGUUCGUAGGCUGUUUCGUAAGUCUGUUGGGAACGGCGCGGGCUCAAACCGCGGACGGCACAGGAUACUGGUGUACUAGAGUAAUGGAGGGGGAAACGGAAGUCUCGGUGUAGCAGUGAAAUGCGUAGAGAUCGGGAGGAACACUCGUGGCGAAGGCGGGUUCCGGGACAUUAACUGACGCUGAGGCACGAAGGCCAGGGGAGCGAAAGGGAUUAGAUACCCUAGUAGUC
rnacentral:rRNA from 1 species